rnacentral:rRNA from 1 species
CCUACGGGAGACUGCAGUGAGGAAUAUUGGUCAAUGGGAGGGAGACUGAACCAGCCAAGCCGCGUGAGGGAAGACGGCACUAUGUAUUGUAAACCUCUUUUGUCGGGGAACAAAACCCGGGACGUGUCCCGGGCUGCGUGUAUCCGAAGAAAAAGCAUCGGCUAACUCCGUGCCAGCAGCCGCGGUAAUACGGAGGAUGCGAGCGUUAUCCGGAUUUAUUGGGUUUAAAGGGUGCGUAGGCGGUCCGUUAAGUCAGCGGUAAAAUUGCGGGGCUCAACCCCGUCCAGCCGUUGAAACUGGCAGACUCGAGUUGGCGAGAAGUACGCGGAAUGCGCGGUGUAGCGGUGAAAUGCAUAGAUAUCGCGCAGAACUCCGAUUGCGAAGGCAGCGUACCGGCUCCAGACUGACGCUGAGGCACGAAAGCGUGGGGAUCGAACAGGAUUAGAUACCCUAGUAGUC